rnacentral:rRNA from 1 species
GACGAACCGUCCUAACGUUAUUCGGAAUCACUGGGCUUAAAGGGCGCGUAGGCGGCCUGCCAAGUCUGAGGUGAAAUCCCCCGGCUUAACCGGGGAAGUGCCUUGGAUACUGGCGGGCUCGAGGGAGGUAGGGGCAGGGGGAACUUCUGGUGGAGCGGUGAAAUGCGUUGAUAUCAGAAGGAACGCCGGUGGCGAAAGCGCCCUGCUGGAUCUCUACUGACGCUGAGGCGCGAAAGCCAGGGGAGCAAACGGG